ensembl:lncRNA
UUUUAUUGUAUGGUCAGCAGUACGGUGUACAUUUUAGGACAUCGUCAGGUAUCAGAAAAAAAAUUGUCAGGUGUCAGUUGUCAAAAAAAAAAAAAGUCAGGUAUCAGAAAAAAAAUUGUCAGGUGUCAGAAAAAAAAUUGUCAGGUGUCAGUUGUCAAAAAAAAAAAAAGUCAGGUAUCAGAAAAAAAAUUGUCAGGUGUCAGAAAAAAAAUUGUCAGGUGUCAGUUGUCAAAAAAAAAAAAGUCAGGUAUCAGAAAAAAAAUUGUCAGGUGUCAGUUGUCAAAAAAAAAAAGUCAGGUAUCAGAAAAAAAAUUGUCAGGUGUCAGAAAAAAAAUUGUCAGGUGUCAGAAAAAAAAUUGUCAGGUGUCAGAAAAAAAAUUGUCAGGUGUCAGUUGUCAAAAAAAAAAAAGUCAGGUAUCAGAAAAAAAAUUGUCAGGUGUCUGUUGUCAAAAAAAAAAAAGUCAGGUAUCAGAAAAAAAAUUGUCAGGUGUCAGAAAAAAAGUUGUCAGGUGUCAGAAAAAAAAUUGUCAGGUGUCAGACAAAAAAUUGUCAGGUGUCAGAAAAAAAGUUGUCAGGUGUCAGAAAAAAAAUUGUCAGGUGUCAGAAAAAAAGUUGUCAGGUGUCAGAAAAAAAUUUUUCUGGCAUAUUCAUAUAAAGGAUUUUUUUUUUUAAAGUAAGAAGCCUUACAUUGUUUCUUUAAUAGUCCAAUUUUUCUUUAAUAUGUUGGUUCUUGCACACCUACAAAAUUCCCAAACAUGUUGUAAGUUUAGGCUUUACAAACUGAAAGUUUCUAUUAUUUUAUUAGUCUGUACCACUUGCUUAAGUGGAAUGGGGAUUAAAAAAUGCACAGGACUAUAAAACCGGGUUGGAUCAUUAACCAAUCUGUUAAUUUUAAUGUUGGGUAUAAUAAACAAUCUCAGAAUAAAUCUGCAGUGAUUGGGUGAUCUGGGUGCUAAAAGCUUUGAGGUUUUUUUUUUUCCCCAAUUAUGAGCUGUGGUCUUUGGAAUGACAUUUUUGAUAACAUUUGUGAAAUUUUAGACAACCUGGUAAGUUCUCAUAUGUAUACCUUAUAGGUUCACCACCCUUCUAAGAAGGCAGUCCUGACAGACUGGGGCAUGGCAAACAUAAGAGACACUGUGAUGCUUCGUCAAGGGAGUAAGUUCACUGCCCAGGCUACUGGUCCAGCUGGUGGCACAUAUCUUUACAUGGCCCCUGAAUGCAUACUGAUGUUUGAAGAGGCCACAUGUCUGGAACAGACAGACAUGUGGU